UUCCUGGAUAAGGAUCUCCACGUGAAACAAUUGGAAAUUGAGAGUGAAGCCAUCUGAUGGUAACCAUGUCAGGUCAUACUUUGCCGCCUCCAGGACAUCUUCUGUUGAUUCUUCCACGCUGGGAUAGAUUUCCUCUCGGAUUGUUGUUAGGAUAAUAUGCUGAUACUUGGAAAGCCCUGAAGCCCUUCUCAACAGGAUUCCGUGAGAGAAUUAAGCCCUAACACCCUGAGGCAUUCAUUUUGAUGGAUUAACUUUUCUGCAUCUUGAAUAGUGCAUGUAACACAUCAUGGAGAACCACGGGGCAUCUCAGAAAGAAGAAAUUAGGAGAGGCUUAUUAUAAGAUUUGGGCUUGGGUUAGCUGACAGGACAAUUCAAGGAAGUUGGAUUCUGUUCUGGAUCUGGUGCUGACAGGAAGCAGAGGCAAUUCCAUGAUUGGUUAUCUUAAUAAUCUUUAUUGCAAGGUGGGAUGAACAAAGCACAGAUAGAAUUGCUUUUGGAGAAGAAAUGAUAGUUGCUCAUGUUAGCUGGGUCAGGGGAACUCGGUCAUUUUUGUGGUUGCACAGUGUCUUCAUUUUUAUUUCUGUCACACAUCAUUAUAAAGUGGUCUUGUUAUGGAGAGUCCCCAGUGGAUGCUGAUAUUCUGUGAAAUUCACAGCAGAGGAAAUUCACAGCUUAGCUAGUAGCAACAGAUAUCAGUAGUCAGGGCUGGUUUUUUCUUUUUUACUACUUCCUGUAAAUAGCUUUGAUUCUUUCUUUGACAUUAGUAGAAAUAGAAUUAUCAAAGUAAAGGUUUCAGUAAUUUAUGAGUUUGGAGACAAAUGAUCACUUUGGUUUCUAGGAGUUUGUAUCAAUUUACUCUUCUACUAGCAGUGUAGGAUAGUGGGAUAAAUGUUGGACAAUUUCCAGAAAGCCAGUACCUUCAGUUGUUGAGGUGAUUUGUUAGAGAGCCUACCUGGUUCUCUUUCAUUAGGUUUUACUGCUGAAUGGUCAUAUGAGGAGGGGUCAUUCACAUUCUUCCCUUUCCGCAUGCUCUCCCCUUCUUUCCCCAGUAGAAGACCUCUUUCCUUCUCAUUGACUGGGAUCAAUAACUCCGGCCAAUACUGGGAUCCACUUUUUUCUUGUUACCCAGUCCUGGCCAUUUUCUCAUCCUCGUGUCACUAAUCAUGAAUUGAUAUAGUUCCUUCCUUCAAGUCAUCUUUCCCCCAGGUUAAAUGGACAAUAAAAUGUCACUAAUCAAACUUCUCUUUUCCAUUGUCUUUGCGGUCUCUCCAAUGUGGAGGUGCACUUUCAGAAGAAUCCCUUCUUGCUGGUGCUACCUGUGUGUACCAGGUCAUCUAUAGACCAACAGAACAGGGGCUCUCAAAUAUUUUUGACAAGACACUCAGUAAGAAAUAUUGAGAUUUUACAUCAUGAACAAAUAUGUGUAAAUGCAUGUUCACAUACAUACACAUAUCAGCCCCUACAUUUAUAUAAAUACAUAUCACACACACAUAACUGUAUAAUUGGAAGAAAAGUUUCACAAAACAAACAUGUCUUUACUACAUGCCUUGUGUUUAGAUAUUUGAUGUUCUAGUCUUUUUCCUUUAAAAAACGCUUGUCAUGA
ensembl:lncRNA